rnacentral:lncRNA from 1 species
CAAUGAUGUGUUCAAUGUUCAUUUAUUAUCUUGAAAAAAUAUUUAUUUUCUUUAAAGAGGAUGAGUAGUGACUGCAUGAGUUAUUUUCAGAACAGUUACCCAGUGUUUUUUUUUAAUUCCCUCAUGACGCUCUUCCUAAUUAAUAUCCGUAUUUGCAAAAUUUUAUUACAGAAAGACUGAUAGAGGAACCCUGUUGAAGUCUAUAAAUUUGUGUGAGACUUGUGUGUUUAAAAGGCAUACAGAGAAUUCUCAUUUGAGAAUCUCUUCUGGAAAACGACGGAAUAACUGGACACCAAACAAUUUACAAACGUCUACAACUCCCUACAUCCCCCGGAGCCUUGCUGCAGUGAUGAUGAUUUCACAGACAAGGUCGGCUCCGGGCUGUGUUCUGACAGAGAGGAACGUUUUUAACCAGGUAUGUUCUGAGCUUUCCACCAAAGUAUCCCAACAGGAUAGGGGACCAAGGGUGUCUGCUUCUGUGG